rnacentral:rRNA from 1 species
AUGAGAGAGUUUCAUCUACAAUGGAUUGAAUGGGUUAGAAAAAUUCUAUUGGGAGGCACGGUUAGUGUGAAACUGAAUGAUGAGGUUGGCCCCUACUUUCAAAGCUCAAAAGGGGUGCGCCAGGGAGACCCAUUUUCACCUUUCCGUUUUAACUUGGAUGUUGAUUGCUUGACUAAAAUGGUACUUAAAGCUCAACAAAAUGGCUUGUUCAAAGGUUUAGCGGCUGACCUAAUUCCAAAUGGGGUAUCUAUUUUACAAUAUGCGGAUGACACAAUUUUGUGCUUUGAAGAUAAUUCUAGAAAUGCACUUAAUAUUAAGUUGCUCCUAUAUCUAUUUGAAAUCAUGUCUGGGAUGAAAAUCAAUUUCUUAAAAAACGAGAUUUUUGCGGUUCGUGCUUCUGAUGAUACUAUGCAAAUGUACGCUGAGAUGUUUAACUGCCAAAUAGGUAAUUUCUCUAACAAAUACCUAGGAAUGCCCGUUAGCUAG